rnacentral:rRNA from 1 species
AUUGAACGCUGGCGGCAUGCCUUACACAUGCAAGUCGAACGGCAGCACGGGAGCAAUCCUGGUGGCGAGUGGCGAACGGGUGAGUAACAUAUCGGAACGUGCCCAGUAGUGGGGGAUAGCCCGGCGAAAGCCGGAUUAAUACCGCAUACGACCUGCGGGUGAAAGCGGGGGAUCGCAAGACCUCGCGCUAUUGGAGCGGCCGAUAUCAGAUUAGCUAGUUGGUGGGGUAAAAGCCUACCAAGGCGACGAUCUGUAGCUGGCCUGAGAGGACGACCAGCCACACUGGGACUGAGACACGGCCCAGACUCCUACGGGAGGCAGCAGUGGGGAAUUUUGGACAAUGGGCGCAAGCCUGAUCCAGCCAUGCCGCGUGCGGGAAGAAGGCCUUCGGGUUGUAAACCGCUUUUGUCAGGGAAGAAACGGUCCGCGCUAAUACCGCGGGCUAAUGACGGUACCUGAAGAAUAAGCACCGGCUAACUACGUGCCAGCCGCCGCGGUAAUAC